CUGGAAGUAUUUUCCCUGAAAAUUUCUGUCUUUUUGUCAAGAAGGCAGAAACCUAUAAUUGUUCUUAGUUUCAGCAAAAACUUGAAAAAUUGUCAAGCAGAAUGAGAAAACCCCACUUCUUAAAAAUACAGAUCUUUAUUGCUAACCCAUCCAAGUGGGAAAAAAGUCAGUGUGCUGCAAAGACUACACUGAGAGUUUGCAGCUUACCAACAGCAAGCAACUGGCAGCUCUUUGGUUGGUGUCAAGGCAAAGGUUGAUUUGGAAGGGAUUGGAAGGAGCAUAAUGAACCGAAGGGAGGAUGAUGCAUGGCUUUCAGCAGAGACCGUACAUACUCCCAGCAAACUCGAGCCACGUUCCCCUGGAGCUCUGUGGGCUGUAUGACAAAGCAAAGCUGCUUUUAAGAAGCGUGUGGGCUGCCCCCACGUAUUUCCCUGCUGUCAGCUUGUGCAGUGAUGCCCGUUCCCGGCCCCGUGAGCUGGGGGAGCCGAGGGGCAGAGGCAUGGCACCAGCUCCAGGUUGGGAACAUCCACAGGGAAGUACCCGAAGCCUCGUUCCUUCGAAUGUCAAAAGGCAGCAGCCCAAAUCUGGUUAAGCAUGGAGAGCCUGACGGAUACGUUGUCUGCAGGAAAGGAGGGCUGUAUCCAAACCUCUCUCAGAGCACCCACGAGCAUCCACCAUCGCAGCAGACUCCACGCUAAACCACUGCACUUCAUCGUUUCCCACAUGUGCUCCAUCGGAUCUUAUCAGGGAGAGCACCCGUGACUCCUGCCUGCGUGUAGGUUGGAAGAGAAGAAAUCGGCGAGGAUUCACCCCUGGUUUCACCAUCCAGCUCCUGCUGGGUGCUUUGUAGGUGCUGCAUUUCUGGUGGUAGGGAUGAACAACCCUAAGGUCAAUUUGUAAUCAUGGUUCUCUAGACCCUGGUCUUUAAUCAAAAUAGUGACAUAUUGGGUUUAUUUGUAUUAAAAACUCCCAUGGAGAUCAGGAUGUUUUACACUGUGGAGCCUGACAGAAGGGAACUUUGCACGGGGACGCAGGACGAAUGAGAUCUCACUGCAAGAAUUGGUUAUGGUGCUGGAAGGAGGCUGGAAGAGACCUCGGGAGGUUUCGUCCCACCCUGUACAUGUAGUGCAUCUCCGGCGAUGAACACUCCGUAGCUUUUCAAGCUACUCUAGUGUUUUGUUUGGAUUGCCAUUUAAAAGUAUUCUUCCCAAUGCAUAAUCUUAAUUUCCUUUCCUGUGCUUGAAGCCCGUUCAUUGAACAAAUCUCAGCUGAAAUACAUUUCACUUAAAAAUUAAAUCAAAUGUUUCAACAAGAAGAACGUUUUCUUGGCUAAUUUGCAAUCGGAG
rnacentral:lncRNA from 1 species